UACGUAGGGGGCUAGCGUUGUCCGGAUUUAUUGGGCGUAAAGAGCGUGUAGGCGGCCAGACAGGUCCGUUGUGAAAACUGGAGGCUCAACCUCCAGACGUCGAUGGAAACCGUCUGGCUAGAGUCCGGAAGAGGAGAGUGGAAUUCCUGGUGUAGCGGUGAAAUGCGCAGAUAUCAGGAAGAACACCCGUGGCGAAAGCGGCUCUCUGGAACGGUACUGACGCUGAGACGCGAAAGCGUGGGGAGCGAACAGG
rnacentral:rRNA from 1 species